rnacentral:lncRNA from 1 species
AAAAACACGGGGAAAUGUACAUCUAUUAAUUCGUGUUAAAAUGGUCAUUUAAAACACCGCUUGGGCAAAAUGGAAAAAGGAAAUUUAUCUGGAUGAGAAUAUGGAUAGAAUUAGGCAAAAAAGCACAAUACAAGCAUACUUUGAAACUCAUACAGAAAAUAGUUUGUUAGUAUGGAAUGUAAUAAAAUGGUUUAAUUUGGUUGUUUUGCCGAAUAACUUUCUCUGUGAUCCAAGUGUGAACAGUCCCUGAAAUUCAUUGGUUUGUACAGAGUAGAUCCGAUAUAGCUAUAGACCUAUAGACCAAGUCUACACGGAACAGACAGCAACGUCGGAAUGAAGCCUGAAAAAGUUAACGUAGGCUGAGAAAUACAUGGGAACUUGAUUCGGCAAAAAUAAAAAUAAAAAAAAUCAGGUCCCGUUACAGUCUGAUUAAAGCCAGCCCCAAGUAUCCACUUGCGUCUAUAAACGCAAGUUGAUAGUCGGGACUGGCUCUAGUCAGACUGGUUCCGUUACAAAAAAAAAUCUCGAAAUUUACAGGCAAACGACUGACUAAUUAUUAUUCAAACGGCAGAAAUAGACUGAAAUAGCUAGAUCUUGAAAUCAUUUAUAUUUUAUAUUCGUGAUUAUUAAGAAGAAAGCAACAUCUCGACAUUCAACGACAUCAAAACCAAAGACAUCAAGAAAAUUGUGACUAAUGCUAAUUGGACGAGUAUUUUUUUAUUUCUAAUUUGUAGUUAUAGUAAACGUUGGGUCCUUAAAUUGAAAAGUUUUGAUAAGUAUGUGUAGUAUAAUUAUCACAGUUAUAGUUUAGUCUCUUGGUACAUAUUUGUUUAAGUCUUAAAACUUUUGUUCUUCUGGAGAAAAUUCAAACCAUAAUGAGAUAAGGAGGUGCGGUAAAAUCAACUUUCCACCAAAGACAAAAUGACGGAAAUGUUAGCUUGCUUACAUUGCUA